AGCUCCAGUAGCGUAUAUUAAAGUUGUUGCAGUUAAAAAGCUCGUAGUUGGAUUUCUGGUUCGACGAGAAUGAGUUUGCCACCGUUAGGUGUGCGAACCAGUACUCGUCAGCCAUCCUUCUAGAAAGCGACCCUACCCUUCACUGGGCCGGGGUUGUGCUCUAGAUCUUUUACUUUGAAGAAAUUAGAGUGUUCAAAGCAGGCUUGCGCUAUGAAUACAUUAGCAUGGAAUAAUAAUUUAGGACUUGGGUUCUAUUUUGUUGGUCUCUAGAGCCGAAGUAAUGAUUGAUAGGGAUAGUUGGGGGUGCUAGUAUUCAGCGGCCAGAGGUGAAAUUCUUGGAUUCGCUGAAGACUAACUUAUGCGAAAGCAUUCGCCAAGGAUGUCUUCUUUAAUCAAGAAC
rnacentral:rRNA from 1 species